UGUGAACUCGAAGAGUAGGGCGGGACACGUGGUAUCCUGUCUGAAUAUGGGGGGACCAUCCUCCAAGGCUAAAUACUCCUGACUGACCGAUAGUGAACCAGUACCGUGAGGGAAAGGCGAAAAGAACCCCGGCGAGGGGAGUGAAAAAGAACCUGAAACCGUGUACGUACAAGCAGUGGGAGCACCUUCGGGUGUGACUGCGUACCUUUUGUAUAAUGGGUCAGCGACUUAUAUUCUGUAGCAAGGUUAACCGUAUAGGGGAGCCGCAGGGAAACCGAGUCUUAACUGGGCGUUAAGUUGCAGGGUAUAGACCCGAAACCCGGUGAUCUAGCCAUGGGCAGGUUGAAGGUUGGGUAACACUAACUGGAGGACCGAACCGACUAAUGUUGAAAAAUUAGCGGAUGACUUGUGGCUGGGGGUGAAAGGCCAAUCAAACCGGGAGAUAGCUGGUUCUCCCCGAAAGCUAUUUAGGUAGCGCCUCGUGAACUCAUCUUCGGGGGUAGAGCACUGUUUCGGCUAGGGGGUCAUCCCGACUUACCAACCCGAUGCAAACUACGAAUACCGAAGAAUGUUAUCACGGGAGACACACGGCGGGUGCUAACGUCCGUCGUGAAGAGGGAAACAACCCAGACCGCCAGCUAAGGUCCCAAAGUCAUGGUUAAGUGGGAAACGAUGUGGGAAGGCACAGACAGCCAGGAUGUUGGCUUAGAAGCAGCCAUCAUUUAAAGAAAGCGUAAUAGCUCACUGGUCGAGUCGGCCUGCGCGGAAGAUGUAACGGGGCUAAACCAUGCACCGAAGCUGCGGCAGCGACACUAUGUGUUGUUGGGUAGGGGAGCGUUCUGUAAGCCUGCGAAGGUGUGCUGUGAGGCAUGCUGGAGGUAUCAGAAGUGCGAAUGCUGACAUAAGUAACGAUAAAGCGGGUGAAAAGCCCGCUCGCCGGAAGACCAAGGGUUCCUGUCCAACGUUAAUCGGGGCAGGGUGAGUCGACCCCUAAGGCGAGGCCGAAAGGCGUAGUCGAUGGGAAACAGGUUAAUAUUCCUGUACUUGGUGUUACUGCGAAGGGGGGACGGAGAAGGCUAUGUUAGCCGGGCGACGGUUGUCCCGGUUUAAGCAUGUAGGCUGGUUAUCCAGGCAAAUCCGGAUAAUCAAGGCUGAGGUGUGAUGACGAGGCACUACGGUGCUGAAGUAACAAAUGCCCUGCUUCCAGGAAAAGCCUCUAAG
rnacentral:rRNA from 1 species